rnacentral:rRNA from 1 species
ACGGAAGGCAGCAGUGGGGAAUAUUGGGCAAUGGGGGAAACCCUGACCCAGCGACGCCGCGUGAGGGAAGAAGGUCUUCGGAUUGUAAACCUUAAUUCAACAGGGAAGAGCGAAAGACGGUACCUGAAGGAAAGCCACGGCUAACUACGUGCCAGCAGCCGCGGUAAUACGUAGGUGGCAAGCGUUAUCCGGAUUUAUUGGGUAUAAAGGGUGUGUAGGCGGGUCUGCAAGUCAGAUGUGAAAAUUAUGGGCUUAACCCAUAAACUGCAUUUGAAACUGUAGAUCUUGAGAGUCGGAGAGGUAAACGGAAUUCCCAGUGUAGCGGUGAAAUGCGUAGAUAUUGGGAGGAACACCAGUGGCGAAGGCGGUUUACUGGACGACAACUGACGCUGAGACACGAAAGCGUGGGGAGCAAACAGGAUUAGAUACCCUGGUA